rnacentral:rRNA from 1 species
GACGAACGCUGGCGGCGUGCUUAACACAUGCAAGUCGAACGGAAAGGCCCUGCUUUUGUGGGGUGCUCGAGUGGCGAACGGGUGAGUAACACGUGAGUAACCUGCCCUUGACUUUGGUAUAACUUCAGGAAACUGGGGCUAAUACCGGAUAGGAGCUCCUGUUGCAUGGUGGGGGUUGGAAAGUUUCGGCGGUUGGGGAUGGACUCGCGGCUUAUCAGCUUGUUGGUGGGGUAGUGGCUUACCAAGGCUUUGACGGGUAGCCGGCCUGAGAGGGUGACCGGCCACAUUGGGACUGAGAUACGGCCCAGACUCCUACGGGAGGCAGCAGUGGGGAAUAUUGCACAAUGGGCGGAAGCCUGAUGCAGCAACGCCGCGUGCGGGAUGACGGCCUUCGGGUUGUAAACCGCUUUCGCCUGUGACGAAGCGUGAGUGACGGUAAUGGGUAAAGAAGCACCGGCUAACUACGUG